GGCAGUGGUAGCUCAGUGGUAAAGACUUUGGACUUCAGCUCAGAAGGUUGUGAGGUCAAAUCCCAGCAUCGCCA
rnacentral:tRNA from 1 species